CCUACGGGAUGCAGCAGUGGGGAAUUUUCCGCAAUGGGCGAAAGCCUGACGGAGCAACGCCGCGUGGAGGUAGAAGGCCCACGGGUCGUGAACUUCUUUUCCCGGAGAAGAAGCAAUGACGGUAUCUGGGGAAUAAGCAUCGGCUAACUCUGUGCCAGCAGCCGCGGUAAUACAGAGGAUGCAAGCGUUAUCCGGAAUGAUUGGGCGUAAAGCGUCUGUAGGUGGCUUUUUAAGUCCGCCGUCAAAGCCCAGGGCUCAACCCUGGACAGGCGGUGGAAGCUACCAAGCUGGAGUACGGUAGGGGCAGAGGGAAUUUCCGGUGGAGCGGUGAAAUGCGUAGAGAUCGGAAAGAACACCGACGGCGAAAGCACUCUGCUGGGCCGACACCGACACUGAGAGACGAAAGCUAGGGGAGCGAAUGGGAUUAGAUACCCCCGUAGUC
rnacentral:rRNA from 1 species